rnacentral:tRNA from 1 species
GCACCGGGAAGCUCAGUUGGUGGAGCGCCCGGCUCGGGACCGGGUGGACGCAGGUUCGAGCCCUGCCCCGGUGCC